CGUAUCGAUCCUUGUGUUUGUAUAGUUGUAGAGACAGUCCUGGAGUGUUUGUGCUGCCUGAUUCUUGGGAUUGCGCACCAAUCUCUCUCUCUGGCUAACUUUGCACUACCUAUUUUGCAAUUACAUCUUUUUGGUCAAAAUCAAUGCAGGCCGAAGAAACUGAGAUACUUACUUACGAGGACCUGGAAAGUCCUGAAGGUGCAGUGCUGUCUAAUACCGCUGGUUCUGUAUUAACCCUUUCAGCAAUUGGGGUGUUGCACAGAGCAAGAACUAAGAACUAUGUGGAAGCGGAC